rnacentral:rRNA from 1 species
GGAAUUGGGGGUCGCUUAGGAUGCUAGUCGACCGACGUUCCAUUAGGAGCGUAGGGGCGGACAGCUCAGUAACACGUGGCUAACCUGCCCUCGUGUGGCGAAUAACCUCGGGAAACUGAGGCUAAUGUGCCAUGGGCGGGGGGUUCUGGAACGACUCCUCGCUGAAAGUUCAGGCGCACGAGGAUGGGGCUGCGGCCGAUUAGGUAGUAGGUAGUGUAACGGACCACCUAGCCUUCGAUCGGUACGGGACGUGGGAGCGUGAGCCCGGAGACGGGUACUGAGACAAGAACCUGGGCCCUAAGGGGCGCAGCAUUCGCGAAAACUCCCCAAUGCGCGAAAGCGUGAGGGGGGGACCCCAAGUGCCAGCACAAUGUGUUGGCUUUUCUGGAGUGCAAAAAGCUCCAGGAAUAAGGGCUGGGUAAGACCGGUGCCAGCCGCCGCGGUAACACCGGCAGCCCAAGUGAUGUCCGCAUUUAUUGGGCUUAAAGCGUUCGUAGCCGGCUUGUUAAGUCCCCGGUCAAAUCCGACGGCUCAACCGUCGGCUAUCUGGGGAUACUGUCAGGCUUGAGGCCGGGAUAGGUCAGAGGUACUCCUGGGGUAGGGGUAAAAUCCGAUAAUCCUGGGGGGACCACCAGUGGCGAAGGCGUCUGACUGGAACGGGCCUGACGGUGAGGGACGAAACCCUGGGGAGCGAUCCGGAUUAGAUACCCGGGUAGUCCCAGCUGUAAACUAUGCAAACUCAGUGAUGCAUUGGCUUGUGGCCAAUGCAGUGCUGCAGGGAAGCCGUUAAGUUUGCCGCCUGGGAAGUACGUACGCAAGUAUGAAACUUAAAGGAAUUGGCGGGGGAGCACCACAAGGGGUGAAGCCUGCGGUUCAAUUGGAGUCAACGCCGGG